CAGUGGUUCGUGUUGCUUUUACAGCAGCGUUUGGCAAUUUGGUUUUUCGCAUUGUCUUGCUUGACUCUCCAGAUAGGAUUAGCAUGCUAAAAGUUCAGUUUCUUUUUGGAUGUAUUUGGACGUCAUCUUUAUUCCCAGCAGUAAAAUGGGUUGAGUUGUUGAUCUCAGAGCUUCAGGCCUGCAAGAUGGAUCAGCUUGAUGCAUGAAUAUGAGGCUAAAAAGUUUAGGAUGGAUGAGCUGCUGUUAAGGGGCGUUAAUAAACUGCUCCCAGCAGUGAUUGUAAAGAACAAGAACAGAGAUUAGCUUAAUAUAUGUUGCAACAAGGGGGAAGCUAGCUGCUGGAAUCAUAGCCUAGUCCUCAGGAUGUUUAUAUAUUGCUCCCAGCAGUGGUACUCAAGAUUCGGCGUGACAUAUGUUCAGCAAGGAAGAAGUUAGCUGCUGGAAUCAUGGCCUAAUUUCCAGGCAGAAGGUUCAAACCUUAUCAGAUCUAGAAGAAAUGCAUCAACUGGUGAUGAGGUUAUUUGUGGUGGCUUGUUUGGUUUUGUUGAAGCCUCAAGAAACUCGUGGAUUAAAGACUCAUAGUCAAUGCAAUAAGCAACAAGCUUGUGUGGCAUUGAGUAUUUGCAUGUUCAUCAAGAGAGCUCCCCUUGAUUUCAUCUGAUACAUAUUGUCAGUGAUAAAGCAUGACUGGUUUGAAGUGAGCAUGGAAAAUUUCUGGAGAAAAAUGCUGCUGUUAAGGAAGCUGCGGUGGAAACACAGCCUAGUCCCUAGUGAAGUCGCCAAAAAUGUAGGGGGCACUUUGAUCGGAGUUGUACGGCAGUGGAUAUUCAUGGGUAAGGACCCAAAACUUUG